UAUGUAGAUUAGGAUGGUGUUGAUG
rnacentral:piRNA from 1 species